AGGUGAACUGCGGAAGGAUCAUUGUCGAAACCUGCAAGGCAGACCGCGAACACGUCCUUAAUGCCGUCGCGGGUCCGGCGCGGGGGCACGUCCCCCCUCCGUGGCCCGCGACCCCUCCUGCCGGUGCACGCCCGCGUGCGCCGUGCGGGCUAACGAACCCCGGCGCGGAAUGCGCCAAGGAAAACCAGUACGAAGCGCCCUCCCCCCGUCCGUGCCCCCGUUCGCGGCGUGCUGCGGGCGGGCGGAAGGCUGCGCCUCACGUAGGAUGUCAAAACGACUCUCGGCAACGGAUAUCUCGGCUCUCGCAUCGAUGAAGAACGCAGCGAAAUGCGAUACUUGGUGUGAAUUGCAGAAUCCCGUGAACCAUCGAGUCUUUGAACGCAAGUUGCGCCCGAAGCCUUCGGGCCGAGGGCACGCCUGCCUGGGCGUCACGCAUCGCGUCGCCCCCUCCCCCCGCCCCCACGGAGCGGGCGGGGCGGGGGCGGAGAGUGGCCUCCCGUGCGCUCCCGUCGUGCGGCCGGCCCAAAUGCGAUCCCCCGGCGGCGCCAGUCGCGACCAGUGGUGGUUGAACCUUCAACUCGCGUGCUGACAGUCGCGCGCAGCGGCGCCGUCCGGCCGGGCAUCACCGCGACCCAGCCAGCGCCUCGGCGCUUCCGACCGCGACCCCAGGUCAGGCGGGAUUACCAA
rnacentral:rRNA from 1 species